GAUUAAGUUAUUAAGGGCGCACGGUGGAUGCCUUGGCACUAGAAGCCGAUGAAGGACGUUACUAACGACGAUAUGCUUUGGGGAGCUGUAAGUAAGCUUUGAUCCAGAGAUUUCCGAAUGGGGAAACCCAGCAUGAGUUAUGUCAUGUUAUCGAUAUGUGAAUACAUAGCAUAUCAGAAGGCACACCCGGAGAACUGAAACAUCUUAGUACCCGGAGGAAGAGAAAGAAAAUUCGAUUCCCUUAGUAGCGGCGAGCGAAACGGGAAGAGCCCAAACCAACAAGCUUGCUUGUUGGGGUUGUAGGACACUCUAUACGGAGUUACAAAGGACGACAUUAGACGAAUCAUCUGGAAAGAUGAAUCAAAGAAGGUAAUAAUCCUGUAGUCGAAAAUGUUGUCUCUCUUGAGUGGAUCCUGAGUACGACGGAGCACGUGAAAUUCCGUCGGAAUCUGGGAGGACCAUCUCCUAAGGCUAAAUACUCUCUAGUGACCGAUAGUGAACCAGUACCGUGAGGGAAAGGUGAAAAGCACCCCGGAAGGGGAGUGAAAUAGAACCUGAAACCGUGUGCUUACAAGUAGUCAGAGCCCGUUAAUGGGUGAUGGCGUGCCUUUUGUAGAAUGAACCGGCGAGUUACGAUUUGAUGCAAGGUUAAGCAGUAAAUGUGGAGCCGUAGCGAAAGCGAGUCUGAAUAGGGCGUUUAGUAUUUGGUCGUAGACCCGAAACCAGGUGAUCUACCCUUGGUCAGGUUGAAGUUCAGGUAACACUGAAUGGAGGACCGAACCGACUUACGUUGAAAAGUGAGCGGAUGAACUGAGGGUAGCGGAGAAAUUCCAAUCGAACCUGGAGAUAGCUGGUUCUCUCCGAAAUAGCUUUAGGGCUAGCCUCAAGUGAUGAUUAUUGGAGGUAGAGCACUGUUUGGACGAGGGGCCCCUCUCGGGUUACCGAAUUCAGACAAACUCCGAAUGCCAAUUAAUUUAACUUGGGAGUCAGAACAUGGGUGAUAAGGUCCGUGUUCGAAAGGGAAACAGCCCAGACCACCAGCUAAGGUCCCAAAAUAUAUGUUAAGUGGAAAAGGAUGUGGCGUUGCCCAGACAACUAGGAUGUUGGCUUAGAAGCAGCCAUCAUUUAAAGAGUGCGUAAUAGCUCACUAGUCGAGUGACACUGCGCCGAAAAUGUACCGGGGCUAAACAUAUUACCGAAGCUGUGGAUUGUCCUUUGGACAAUGGUAGGAGAGCGUUCUAAGGGCGUUGAAGCAUGAUCGUAAGGACAUGUGGAGCGCUUAGAAGUGAGAAUGCCGGUGUGAGUAGCGAAAGACGGGUGAGAAUCCCGUCCACCGAUUGACUAAGGUUUCCAGAGGAAGGCUCGUCCGCUCUGGGUUAGUCGGGUCCUAAGCUGAGGCCGACAGGCGUAGGCGAUGGAUAACAGGUUGAUAUUCCUGUACCACCUAUAAUCGUUUUAAUCGAUGGGGGGACGCAGUAGGAUAGGCGAAGCGUGCGAUUGGAUUGCACGUCUAAGCAGUAAGGCUGAGUAUUAGGCAAAUCCGGUACUCGUUAAGGCUGAGCUGUGAUGGGGAGAAGACAUUGAGUCUUCGAGUCGUUGAUUUCACACUGCCGAGAAAAGCCUCUAGAUAGAAAAUAGGUGCCCGUACCGCAAACCGACACAGGUAGUCAAGAUGAGAAUUCUAAGGUGAGCGAGCGAACUCUCGUUAAGGAACUCGGCAAAAUGACCCCGUAACUUCGGGAGAAGGGGUGCUCUUUAGGGUUAACGCCCAGA
rnacentral:rRNA from 1 species